rnacentral:tRNA from 1 species
GCGCCCGUAGCUCAGCUGGAUAGAGCACAAGCCUCCGGAGCUUGGUGUCGGUGGUUCGAAUCCACUCGGGCGUA